AACGCACCUUGCGCUCCUUGGUAUUCCGAGGAGCAUGCCUGUUCGAGUGUCUUUUAAACAAUCGACCCCAAUACUUGUUGGGCUCGGAUUUUUGGAUGUCAUGCGGUUCCUCUGGGGCCGCUCGUCCCAAAUUCAUUAGCCGUGAUAACACGAAAACUGGCUUUGUGGAGUGUAAAUUGCCUCCAUCCAUGCCGUGCGUGUUCGUGGCUACCAACGGUCUGGACACAGACAAUUGUUACCUUUGGCCUCGAAUCAGGUAGGACUACCCGCUGAACUUAA
rnacentral:misc_RNA from 1 species